GAAAAGUUAAAAAUUCCUUCACAGACUUCUCGCAACCCAAGGCUCUCUUUAAAAAUACUUUUUCAGCAUGGAUCCCGCAGCUCCUUUAGAGUCUUAGCUCCUUUUACUUCUGUUUGACUGUAACUAAACUGACUUAGAGGCUGGGCUUUAUUUCUAUGAACCUUUUAACAUAAACACUACAAAUUCUCGUAUCAAAUCACCAAGUACUUGGAAAAAGUUUGUCUUUGAUGAUGCAUAUAGGCACAGACAAAUAUAACAGACAGGAUUAAGUCAAUUAGUUAAAAUAACAUCUUGAAGAGUUUCUUGAUUUGCAUCUCUCCAGGCAUUCUCAUUGUCCGUGACAGAAAUUGGAACUCUGGUGCAAGGGAAUCAUGUGAAUUUUUCCAUGAUCCUUUUAAGGGAAAAAGGUACUAUGCUCUCCUGCCCGGCCACCUCUGUGUGUGUUGGACAUUGGUCCAUGUGUAUUGGUUAGUAAAGCUGCUGAUUGAACUCUUUGUGAUGCAUCCUUACCCACCAGGUCUCGAAAGGUCCUUCCCCAUUGGUGGACUCCCAACAUGUGGAACAAUUUAAGAACAAGCCUUGCAUAGAUUGUUCUAAGAAUGCAUCAAAUUAUGGACCUGCAGAUGGCAGAGCCUUGCAGUGAAACUUCUAAAAUUAUUUUAAGGAUUUGAUCCUUUGAAGCUUAUUGUGGAGCCAUGAAAAUCAUCUUGGCUUAACUGGAUCUUUAUCAACUGGCGGGAUCUGAAGCCUUAAAACAUUUUCAUUUCAAGGAUCUGUGGACAUCAUUUGCCAGCAUCAUCUAUACUCCAAAACAGCCUAGGUGCUUGUAUUUGAAGUCAAUCUUUGGUCUAAAUAUUCCUCGGUCUGUCUGUCUGUCCUCUGAUGGACUCCCUGGAGACAAAUUUGUUUAUGUGUGUCUUCUAAUCUAGACCUCGCUUGAUAUGUCAAACCUAAUAAGUCUUGGUGGACUGAAAUUGCCACUUCUAUUCUUCAUUUACCCCAAUUUGAAGCUGAGACUCAUUAUUGAAUCAAUGCAUCACCUGUCGUUCGUUACUUG